GGGCUCCGUUGGUAGAGCAUCUGUUUUGCGAGCAGAAAGCCCCAGGUUCAAUCCUUUGAAACA
rnacentral:tRNA from 1 species